rnacentral:miRNA from 1 species
UGGUAAAUGAUACAUCUCCAAG